AACCCGCCUGCAUGAAGCCGGAAUCGCUAGUAAUCGCAGAUCAGCAUGCUGCGGUGAAUACGUUCCCGGGUCUUGUACACACCGCCCGUCACACCAUGGGAGUCGAUAACGCCCGAAGUCAGUGACCCAACCGAAAGGAGGGAGCUGCCGAAGGCGGGAUUGAUAACUGGGGUGAAGUCGUAACAAGGUAGC
rnacentral:rRNA from 1 species